rnacentral:rRNA from 1 species
CCUUUUAUUGAAGCUUCGGCAGAUUUAGCUGGUUUCUAGUGUCGGACGGGUGAGUAACGCGUGGGUAACCUGCCUUAUACAGGGGGAUAACAGUCAGAAAUGGCUGCUAAUACCGCAUAAGCGCACAGAGCUGCAUGGCUCAGUGUGAAAAACUCCGGUGGUAUAAGAUGGACCCGCGUUGGAUUAGCUUGUUGGUGAGGUAACGGCCCACCAAGGCGACGAUCCAUAGCCGGCCUGAGAGGGUGAACGGCCACAUUGGGACUGAGACACGGCCCAGACUCCUACGGGAGGCAGCAGUGGGGAAUAUUGCACAAUGGGGGAAACCCUGAUGCAGCGACGCCGCGUGAAGGAAGAAGUAUCUCGGUAUGUAAACUUCUAUCAGCAGGGAAGAUAAUGACGGUACCUGACUAAGAAGCCCCGGCUAACUACGUGCCAGCAGCCGCGGUAAUACGUAGGGGGCAAGCGCUAUCCGGAUUUACUGGGUGUAAAGGGAGCGUAGACGGUGUGGCAAGUCUGAUGUGAAAGGCAUGGGCUCAACCCGUGGACUGCAUUGGAAACUGUCAUACUUGAGUGCCGGAGGGGUAAGCGGAAUUCCUAGUGUAGCGGUGAAAUGCGUAGAUAUUAGGAGGAACACCAGUGGCGAAGGCGGCUUACUGGACGGUAACUGACGUUGAGGCUCGAAAGCGUGNGGAGCAAACAGGAUUAGAUACCCUGGUAGUCCACGCCGU